CCUACGGGUGGCAGCAGUGAGGAAUAUUGGUCAAUGGCCGUAAGGCUGAACCAGCCAAGUCGCGUGAAGGAAGAAGGAUCUAUGGUUUGUAAACUUCUUUUAUAGGGGAAUAAAGGUAUCCACGUGUGGAGAUUUGCAUGUACCCUAUGAAUAAGCAUCGGCUAAAUCCGUGCCAGCAGCCGCGGUAAUACAGAGGAUGCGAGCGUUAUCCGGGCUUAUUGGGUUUAAAGGGUGCGGAGGUUGUUUUUUAAGUCAGCGGUGAAAGUUUGUGGUUCAACCAUAAAAUUGCCGUUGAAACUGGAAGACUUGAGUGUGUUUGAGGUAGGCGGAAUGCGUGGUGUAGCGGUGAAAUGCAUAGAUAUCACGCAGAACUCCGAUUGCGAAGGCAGCUUACUAAGCCAUAACUGACACUGAAGCACGAAAGCGUGGGGAGCAAACAGGAUUAGAUACCCUUGUAGUC
rnacentral:rRNA from 1 species